rnacentral:lncRNA from 1 species
AUCACCCUACUACCAAUGUCACCCACUAAACCACGUCCCCAAGCACCAGCUUGGUUGGAAACCUCAGCCACAAACAGUGGAAAUUCCCCCCAAAAUGUUCCAUCCAGAGGGGCUGUCCCCCUGAGAGCAGGCAGGGCUGAUGCCUUAUAGGAAAUACGGUGCCCCUAGGAGUCUGUGAGUCACCUCGGUGGUGAACACACGCUCAUAAAUCUGGCUAACGAGUGCAUCAGGACGUAUACCCAGAUCCACCUUUCUUUUGAAUCUUUCCCUUUACCUUUUCACCCCUGAAGACAUCUAAGCUGCUAACACUCUGAGGAGGAUGACACAGCAAAAAAAAAAAUAAAAAAAAAUCUUUUAGCAAGAAACAGAGAAAUGAGAUUUGCAUAUGUUUUUCUGGGAAAAAUAUCAAGUUUUUUUUGUUAGAAACUGUGUUGGAAACCAGCUUGUAAAACGUGGAGCCUGACUCAAACACUGAUUUGUCAUGGGACCAUCACCUGUGCCCACUGUUAACGGGGACUCCUCAGCUCUCUGCCCAGGAGGAAAGAUCGCUGUUAAUAUCUUAGUGACAGGUUGUAUUUGGGGAAGAGCAAAUCCUGGGCUGAGAUGUGGCUGGAGAAGCUUUCCCUGCAUUUAGUGGCCAGUGAGGAAAUUUUGUGGAACGCAGCAUUGCUGUGGAGCCGUUCCCAAGGGGUUGUGAUCCCGAUGAUCAAUGACCUUCAGAAAGCUCGGGGGUUCAGCUCAGUGAGGGGGAAUACUGCCGGUGUCUAUCCCAGCUCUGCAAACCCAAUUUUCCGCUUGCGUGCCUGAUUAUAAAUCAGCGGUAAAUGUGCUUAUGCUGACACGCCAGCAUUGCCCUGGAUGCCGUUCCAUAGGCACACGCUCCUUCGGCCCCAGGUGACUCAAUCUGAUGAAGAAACCCCGGGGUUUUCUUCGCUUUGGCAGGUGUUGGUGGGCAAUCCUCUUCGAUUAACGCCGCGCUGCUUUUUGGCCGGAGAUGCUCGGACCGACUGCCGAGGCAAAGAGAGAUGCCAGCAGAGCCUGCGACCCAGCCGAGACCCAGCCAGUGGGAAUCCUGUCUGCAGAGCUCCUCGAGUCUGUGAAACUGGCAGGACAGAGCAUCCCAGAUCCUAUCCUUCUGAGGAGGCUGAGGCCUCAUCCCACGAGCCAGAGCCACCAGCAUGCAGCGCAAGCCACAAGAGGCGCAAGG